rnacentral:rRNA from 1 species
GACGAACGCUGGCGGCGUGCUUAACACAUGCAAGUCGAACGGAAAGGCCCUGCUUUUGUGGGGUGCUCGAGUGGCGAACGGGUGAGUAACACGUGAGUAACCUGCCCUUGACUUUGGGAUAACUUCAGGAAACUGGGGCUAAUACCGGAUAGGAGCUCCUGCUGCAUGGUGGGGGUUGGAAAGUUUCGGCGGUUGGGGAUGGACUCGCGGCUUAUCAGCUUGUUGGUGGGGUAGUGGCUUACCAAGGCUUUGACGGGUAGCCGGCCUGAGAGGGUGACCGGACACAGUGGGACUGAGAUACGGCCCAGCCUCCGACGGGAGGCAGCAGUGGGGAGUAUGGGGCAAUGGGCGGAAGCCUGAUGCAGCAACGCCGCGGGGGGGAGGACGGGCGGCGGGUUGGAAACCGCAGUCGCCUGUGACGAAGCGUGAGUGACGGUAAUGGGUAAAGAAGCACCGGCUAACUACGUG